GGGUUAGUAGGUUGGUCAUGCCUCUGGUAUGUACUGGUCUCACUGAUUCCUCCUUCCUGAUGAGCCGUAAUGCCAUUAAUUUGGUGUUGCGGGGAAUUUGGACUGUUACUUUGAAAAAAUUAGAGUGUUUAAAGCAGGCGUUAGCUUGAAUACAUUAGCAUGGAAUAAUAAAGUAGGACGUGCGGUUCUAUUUUGUUGGUUUCUAGAGUCGCCGUA
rnacentral:rRNA from 1 species